AACAUAUUGAGCUGUUACAUAAGGUUUUAGGGAGCCUGCAAUCUCCUCCAUAUGUAUUGUUUUAAGUAUGGGUAAGUGCAGUCUAUAGGAUACGCAUUGUAAACACAAUGACCUAAUAUAUACACACAGAAUGAUCAAUUCAAAUGUAAUAAGGUACAAUAUAUACAGGAAAGUCAUAUAUUAAACACUGAGAGGAUGUAAUUUUAGAUAAGAGUAUGUGCAUUGUAAAUACUCUCUUCAUCAAAAAGUCUGUGUUUUCAUGUCAUUAUAUAAAAC